rnacentral:rRNA from 1 species
GGUUAAGUGACUAAGCGUACAGGGCGGAUGCCUUGGCAAUCAGAGGCGAUGAAGGACGUGCUAAUCUGCGAAAAGCUUGGAUGAGUCGAUAAGAGGCGUUUAAUCCAAGAUGUCCGAAUGGGGAAACCCAGUAGAUGAAGAAUCUACUAUCAAUAAAUGAAUACAUAGUUUAUUGAGGCGAACCGGGAGAACUGAAACAUCUAAGUACCCCGAGGAAAAGAAAUCAACCGAGAUUCUGUGAGUAGCGGCGAGCGAAAGCGGAAGAGCCAGUAAGUUUUAGCUAGCGUAUUAGAGGAAUUGGCUGGGAAGCCAAAUCAAAGAGGGUGAUAAUCCCGUACUCGAAAGUAUGGUAGUGGAACUAAGCUUACGAUAAGUAAGGCGGGACACGAGAAAUCCUGUUUGAAGAUGGGGGGACCAUCCUCCAAGGCUAAAUACUCCUGAUUGACCGAUAGUGAACCAGUACUGUGAAGGAAAGGCGAAAAGAACCCCGGUGAGGGGAGUGAAAUAGAACCUGAAACCCUGUACGUACAAGCAGUAGGAGCGAGGGCAACCUUGUGACUGCGUACCUUUUGUAUAAUGGGUCAGCGACUUAUAUUUUGUAGCGAGGUUAACUGAAUAAGGGAGCCGAAGGGAAACCGAGUCUUAACUGGGCGUUGAGUUGCAAGGUAUAGACCCGAAACCCGGUGAUCUAGCCAUGGGCAGGUUGAAGGUUGGGUAACACUAACUGGAGGACCGAACCGACUAAUGUUGAAAAAUUAGCGGAUGACUUGUGGCUGGGGGUGAAAGGCCAAUCAAACCGGGAGAUAGCUGGUUCUCCCCGAAAUCUAUUUAGGUAGAGCCUUGAGCGGACACCUUCGGGGGUAGAGCACUGUUUCGGCUAGGGGUCCAUCCCGGAUUACCAACCCGAUGCAAACUGCGAAUACCGAAGAGUGAUACUCAGGAGACACACGGCGGGUGCUAACGUUCGUCGUGGAGAGGGAAACAACCCAGACCGCCAGCUAAGGUCCCGAAGUCUAUAUUAAGUGGGAAACGAAGUGGGAAGGCUUAGACAGCUAGGAUGUUGGCUUAGAAGCAGCCAUCAUUUAAAGAAAGCGUAAUAGCUCACUAGUCGAGUCGGCCUGCGCGGAAGAUGUAACGGGGCUCAAAUAUAGCACCGAAGCUGCGGCAUCAGAAUUUAUUCUGUUGGGUAGGGGAGCGUUGUGUAAGCGGAUGAAGGUGGCUCGAGAGGGUUGCUGGACGUAUCACAAGUGCGAAUGCUGACAUAAGUAACGAUAAAACGAGUGAAAAACUCGUUCGCCGGAAGACCAAGGGUUCCUGUCCAACGUUAAUCGGGGCAGGGUGAGUCGGCCCCUAAGGCGAGGCUGAAAAGCGUAGUCGAUGGGAAACGGGUUAAUAUUCCCGUACUUGGAUAAACUGCGAUGUGGGGACGGAGAAGGUUAGGUUAGCAGACUGUUGGAUGUCUGUUUAAGGUGGUAGGUGGAAGACUUAGGCAAAUCCGGGUCUUUAUAAACACUGAGAGCUGAUGACGAGGUCUUAAGGGACUGAAGUAACUGAUACCCUGCUUCCAGGAAAAGCCACUAAGCUUCAGGUUUAUCUAAACCGUACUGAAAACCGACACAGGUGGUCAGGUAGAGAAUACUCAGGCGCUUGAGAGAACUCGGGUGAAGGAACUAGGCAAAAUAGCACCGUAACUUCGGGAGAAGGUGCGCUUACAGUAAUUGUAGUCCCUUGCGGAUGAAGGUGAAGUAAGUCGAAGAUACCAGCUGGCUGCAACUGUUUAUUAAAAACACAGCACUCUGCAAACACGAAAGUGGACGUAUAGGGUGUGAUGCCUGCCCGGUGCUGGAAGGUUAAUUGAUGGUGUUAUCGAAAGAGAAGCUCCUGAUCGAAGCCCCAGUAAACGGCGGCCGUAACUAUAACGGUCCUAAGGUAGCGAAAUUCCUUGUCGGGUAAGUUCCGACCUGCACGAAUGGCAUAAUGAUGGCCAGGCUGUCUCCACCCGAGACUCAGUGAAAUUGAAAUCGCCGUGAAGAUGCGGUGUACCCGCGGCUAGACGGAAAGACCCCGUGAACCUUUACUAUAGCUUGACACUGAACAUUGAAUUUUGAUGUGUAGGAUAGGUGGGAGCCUUUGAAGCAGUGACGCCAGUCAUUGUGGAGGCGACCUUGAAAUACCACCCUUUAACGUUUGAUGUUCUAACGAAGUGCCUGAAACGGGUACUCGGACAGUGUCUGGUGGGUAGUUUGACUGGGGCGGUCUCCUCCCAAAGCGUAACGGAGGAGCACGAAGGUUUGCUAAUGACGGUCGGACAUCGUCAGGUUAGUGCAAUGGUAUAAGCAAGCUUAACUGCGAGACAGACAAGUCGAGCAGGUGCGAAAGCAGGUCAUAGUGAUCCGGUGGUUCUGAAUGGAAGGGCCAUCGCUCAACGGAUAAAAGGUACUCCGGGGAUAACAGGCUGAUACCGCCCAAGAGUUCAUAUCGACGGCGGUGUUUGGCACCUCGAUGUCGGCUCAUCACAUCCUGGGGCUGAAGUAGGUCCCAAGGGUAUGGCUGUUCGCCAUUUAAAGUGGUACGCGAGCUGGGUUUAGAACGUCGUGAGACAGUUCGGUCCCUAUCUGCCGUGGGCGUUGGAUGAUUGAUUGGGGCUGCUCCUAGUACGAGAGGACCGGAGUGGACGCAUCACUGGUGUUCCAGUUGUCUCGCCAGAGGCAUUGCUGGGUAGCUAAAUGCGGAAGAGAUAAGUGCUGAAAGCAUCUAAGCACGAAACUUGCCAAGAGAUGAGUCAUCCCUGACUUUAAGUCAGUAAGGGUUGUUGUAGACUACGACGUAGAUAGGUUGGGUGUGUAAGUGUAGUGAUACAUUGAGCUAACCAAUACUAAUUGCCCGAGAGGCUUAAUCAU